rnacentral:rRNA from 1 species
UACGUAGGUGGCAAGCGUUGUCCGGAUUUACUGGGCGUAAAGAGCGCGCAGGCGGUCGAAUAAGUCGAAUGUGAAAGCCCCCGGCUCAACUGGGGAGGGUCAUUCGAUACUGCUCGACUUGAAGGCAGGAGAGGGUAGUGGAAUUCCCGGUGUAGUGGUGAAAUGCGUAGAUAUCGGGAGGAACACCAGUGGCGAAGGCGGGUUGCUGGGCUGACACUGACGCUGAUGCGCGAAAGCCAGGGGAGCGAACGGG